AAUCUUGGGGCUCAUCUGACGCAGGCAUCUGGAAAUGCAGAGAACACCGAGCUGAUGGGAGAGGCGGGCUUGCAAUCACUGAUGAGAUCUCCUCCCAGAGGUUAUCUCAAGGCUUGAAGAGCAGCAAUACAGGGAAAGCAUACAAGAAACUUGCUGUUGAACAAAUUCAACUUUCUUGGAGCUGAAAGAGUCAUAUUUGUUCCAGUGAGCAGUCACCCAGGCUGCAGAUGCUGAAGAGCACAACCUCUCCCCAGCAUCAAGAAUCUCAUUUGUGAAGAUGGAGCAAAAGAAAGAAUAGGAGAAAUUGAAGGAGGCCAUUAAGUGCUUUGGUUUUUAACUCAAAAGGCUCUGGACUACUGUUUUGCCUAAGAUGUAGUGAAAAAGAGAAAAACACCCCCCAAACUCCAACUCUUCCAUUUCUCAUGAAGUCUGCAAGUGAGACCAGCAAUAACUUCAGGCCUUGUCUUAUCUUGUUCUGGCAAUUCCGCAUCCUGCGCUGAGCUUCACGCAGCCUCUUACACGUGGCCCGAGCCCGCUGACGUCUGGCUUACAGAGCAUCUAGGUGAGCGGAGACCUGCGUGGGAAAGUCUCGGACUCUGAGGGGAAAGAGAGGGUAGUUCAGCAUCCAGGACUGUGGAAUGGAAAAUGUACAACUCGGGGAACUGUGGAGAUAAGCUGCUACAAGUAAAUAGAGAACAGCACCGGCUAAAUGCCCAGGGAGCAGUGAUCAGCAGAUUCGGGAGAGAGCGCGAUGUUGAUAAAUGUUUUGAGCAGAGGGCGGCCUUGGAGAUAACUCUGAACUUGAUCUGGUCCUGAGAGGAAGCAGCAAGACCAGAUCUUGCAGCGCUUCAAUACCCCACAGCGUGAUACCCUCAAUGGUGGAAGAGGCAGGGGCCAAUUCCUCUUAAGAGUGGAUGGAGGAGGGCUCAGCAGGGGGCAAGAGGAGUGAAGCACAAGCGUCAGAGGCUCGUGGACCCAGGCUUGUACCUCAAGGACAUAAGAGGACCAGAGCAGAAGACAAAGUGGAGAAGACAGACUUGAGAAAGAAUGGCCAGUCACGUGGACCAGGACCACAGCCAGUGUGGGGGAGCGGGCAGUCUCCCGUACUGGCUGUGGGGGGUGCGGUGAGCAGUGGCUGGUGGAGACGGAGCCCUGUCACUAAAGCCAGACCCUUCUGAGAUGGAUGACAAUUAUGCAAAUGACCAUGGAAUUUCACUGUCCUGCUCCCACUCCCUUUUUCCUGCCUGCACUACUCAAAUUUGAUGUUCACCAUAUGGUUUUAUUCCAAGCACGGCUGGACCUUUCUGAAAGGAAAAUCUCCUUGCUGUCUAUUGCAGCCAUGAAAAAUAAAUCCUAAGGAUGCUCAUCACA